UACGAAGGGGGCUAGCGUUGCUCGGAAUUACUGGGCGUAAAGCGCACGUAGGCGGAUUGUUAAGUCGGGGGUGAAAUCCUGGAGCUCAACUCCAGAACUGCCUUCGAUACUGGCGAUCUCGAGUUCGGGAGAGGUGAGUGGAACUGCGAGUGUAGAGGUGAAAUUCGUAGAUAUUCGCAAGAACACCAGUGGCGAAGGCGGCUCACUGGCCCGAUACUGACGCUGAGGUGCGAAAGCGUGGGGAGCAAACAGGGG
rnacentral:rRNA from 1 species